rnacentral:rRNA from 1 species
UUUCCGGUUGAUCCCGCCGGACCUGACUGCUAUCGGAUUGAUACUAAGCCAUGCGAGUCUUUGUAGUAAUACAAGGCAGACGGCUCAGUAACGCGUAGUCAAUCUACCCUAUGGACGGGGAUAACCUCGGGAAACUGAGAAUAAUACCCGAUAGAACAUUAUGCCUGGAAUGGUUUAUGUUCCAAAUGAUUUAUCGCCGUAGGAUGGGACUGCGGCCUAUCAGUUUGUUGGUGAGGUAAUGGCCCACCAAGACUAUUACAGGUACGGGCUCUGAGAGGAGUGGCCCGGAGAUGGGUACUGAGACACGGACCCAGGCCCUAUGGGGCGCAGCAGGCGAGAAAACUUUGCAAUGUGCGAAAGCACGACAAGGUUAAUCCGAGUGGUUUCUGCUAAAGGAACCUUUUGUCGGUCCUAGAAACACCGAUGAAUAAGGGGUGGGCAAGUUCUGGUGUCAGCCGCCGCGGUAAAACCAGCACCUCAAGUGGUCAGGAUGAUUAUUGGGCCUAAAGCAUCCGUAGCCGGCUCUGUUAGUUUUCGGUUAAAUCUGUACGCUCAACGUACAGGCUGCCGGGAAUACUGCAGAGCUAGGGAGUGGGAGAGGUAGACGGUACUCGGUAGGAAGGGGUAAAAUCCUUUAAUCUAUUGAUGACCACCUGUGGCGAAGGCGGUCUACCAGAACACGUCCGACGGUGAGGGAUGAAAGCUGGGGGAGCAAACCGGAUUAGAUACCCGGGUAGUCCCAGCUGUAAACUAUGCAAACUCAGUGAUGCAUUGGCUUGUGGCCAAUGCAGUGCUGCAGGGAAGCCGUUAAGUUUGCCGCCUGGGAAGUGCGUACGCAAGUAUGAAACUUAAAGGAAUUGGCGGGGGAGCACCACAAGGGGUGAAGCCUGCGGUUCAAUUGGAUUCAACGCCGGG